CCCGUCUCGGCCUCCCAAAGUGCUGGGAUUACAGGCUUGAGCCACCGCGCCCGGCCCUGGAAUCUGCAUUUUAACUAGUUGCGGGGAUUGUGGGGGGCAGUAGCUGACUGUCUCGUGGCAUUUCUGUGGCUCUGAAGUGUUCCCCCAUCCCAGGACCAAUCUCUUCAUAUCUUCUCUACAGAGCCACACUGACGGCCUGACCCCCAUGGGUAGAGUCACUUAGGGGCCACUUCCUAAGUUGCUGUCCAGCCUCCGUGACCCCCUAGUGCUUCCUGGAGCUGAGGCUGUGGGCAGCCAUCCCCACGACCAGGGAAGGGGUUCCCCCAAUUUCUCAUACAAAUAGAUCAGCAUGAGGACAGAGGCAGGAGACUGGUCAGUUACCUGGGAAUUCUGGGCUGCUGGGAAACGAUUUGGGCCUCUGUCAGUUUCUUUUCCAUGUAUGAGGAGGGAGAAAUUUGUAUUUUAGAAACUUAUUCAUCCCAGUCAGGACAAUAAAAAUGAAUGGACAAAAA